GAUGAAGAACGCAGUGAAGUGCGAUAUGUAGUGUGAAUUGCAGAAUUCCGUGAAUCAUCGAAUCUUUGAACGCAUCUUGCACUCUCUGGUAUUCCGGAGAGUAUGCCUGUUUGAGGGUCAUUUGAAACAUAAAUUCUAAAUUUCUUAGAAAAAAAUGGGUCUUCCAGUUUUUAUGGUCACCUAAAAUAUAAGACACGCACAUUUUUUUGGAUUGCGUGAUACUUUUUCAUAACUUUCCUCGAUAUGUUGCGUGGCGUCAUUUUGCAAAAAUGAAAUAUUUAUAAAAUGAAAUCGUUUUCGCAAAAAAUCAAGAAAAUUGAAUCAUGACCUCAAAUUAGGUAGGAGUACCCGCUGAACUUAAGCAUAUCAAUAAGCGGAGGA
rnacentral:misc_RNA from 1 species